CCCAGGUCCUCGUUUGCGAGCUCAUCAACGUUAGGAGAUUCCUGGAAAAAAUAGACCCAUGACGCUCCCUGACGCAAGAUCUUUCUGAUGAGAUCCUAAAAUAGCGCCGGGCUAGAGGCUGGAAUCGUGAAGAGGUUGCCAAACAUGAUUGCAAAAACGGGGAAAAACCCUGUGUUUUACAAUCCUGGCGAGU